GGCUCAGGAUGAACGCUGGCGGCGUGCUUAACACAUGCAAGUCGAACGAAGCACUUUAUUACAAUUUCUUCGGAAUGACGAUUUAGUGACUGAGUGGCGGACGGGUGAGUAACGCGUGGGUAACCUGCCUUAUACAGGGGGAUAACAGUUAGAAAUGACUGCUAACACCGCAUAAGCGCACAGGAUUGCAUGAUCUGGUGUGAAAAACUCCGGUGGUAUAAGAUGGACCCGCGUCUGAUUAGCUGGUUGGUGAGGUAACGGCCCACCAAGGCGACGAUCAGUAGCCGACCUGAGAGGGUGACCGGCCACAUUGGGACUGAGACACGGCCCAAACUCCUACGGGAGGCAGCAGUGGGGAAUAUUGCACAAUGGGGGAAACCCUGAUGCAGCGACGCCGCGUGAGCGAAGAAGUAUUUCGGUAUGUAAAGCUCUAUCAGCAGGGAAGAAGAAUGACGGUACCUGACUAAGAAGCACCGGCUAAAUACGUG
rnacentral:rRNA from 1 species